GACGAACGCUGGCGGCGUGCCUAAUACAUGCAAGUAGAACGCUGAAGGAGGAGCUUGCUUCUCUGGAUGAGUUGCGAACGGGUGAGUAACGCGUAGGUAACCUGCCUGGUAGCGGGGGAUAACUAUUGGAAACGAUAGCUAAUACCGCAUAAUAGUAGAUGUUGCAUGACAUUUGCUUAAAAGUUGCAAUUGCAUCACUACCAGAUGGACCUGCGUUGUAUUAGCUAGUUGGUGGGGUAACGGCUCACCAAGGCGACGAUACAUAGCCGACCUGAGAGGGUGAUCGGCCACACUGGGACGGAGACACGGCCCAGACUCCUACGGGAGGCAGCAGUAGGGAAUCUUCGGCAAUGGACGGAAGUCUGACCGAGCAACGCCGCGUGAGUGAAGAAGGUUUUCGGAUCGUAAAGCUCUGUUGUAAGAGAAGAACGAGUGUGAGAGUGGAAAGUUCACACUGUGACGGUAUCUUACCAGAAAGGGACGGCUAACUACGUG
rnacentral:rRNA from 1 species